UGGGGAAUCUUGCACAAUGGGCGCAAGCCUGAUGCAGCCAUGCCGCGUGAAUGAUGAAGGCCUUAGGGUUGUAAAAUUCUUUCGCCAGGGAUGAUAAUGACAGUACCUGGUAAAGAAGCCCCGGCAAACUUCGUGCCAGCAGCCGCGGUAAUACGAAGGGGGCUAGCGUUGUUCGGAAUUACUGGGCGUAAAGGGCGCGUAGGCGGACGAUCAAGUCAGAGGUGAAAGGCCCGGGCUCAACCUGGGACGUGCCUUUGAAACUGAUUGUCUUGAGUGCGGAAGAGGGUGACGGAAUUCCCAGUGUAGAGGUGAAAUUCGUAGAUAUUGGGAAGAACACCGGUGGCGAAGGCGGUCACCUGGUCCGCAACUGACGCUGAGGCGCGAAAGCGUGGGGAGCAAACAGGAUUAGAUACCCCCGUAGUCC
rnacentral:rRNA from 1 species